rnacentral:rRNA from 1 species
UACGGGGGGGGGCAAGCGUUGUUCGGAAUUACUGGGCGUAAAGGGCUCGUAGGCGGCCAACUAAGUCAGACGUGAAAUCCCUAGGCUCAACCUAGGAACUGCGUCUGAUACUGGAUGGCUUGAAUCCGGGAGAGGGAUGCGGAAUUCCAGGUGUAGCGGUGAAAUGCGUAGAUAUCUGGAGGAACACCGGUGGCGAAGGCGGCAUCCUGGACCGGUAUUGACACUGAGGAGCGAAAGCCAGGGGAGCAAACGGG